UCUCCGCUUAUUAUCUGAUGC
rnacentral:snRNA from 1 species